rnacentral:rRNA from 1 species
GUAGGUGGCAAGCGUUGUCCGGGAAUUAUUGGGCGUAAAGACGCGCGCAGGCGGUUCGUUUAAGUCUGAUGUGAAGCCACGGGCGUCAACCGUGGAGGGUCGAUUGGAAACUGGAGAACUUGAGUACAGAAGAGGAAAGCGGAAUUCCACGUGUAGCGGUGAAAUGCGUAGAGAUGUGGAGGAACACCAGUGGCGAAGGCGGCUUUCUGGUCUGUAACUGACGCUGAGGCGCGAAAGCGUGGGGAGCAAACAGGAUUAGAUACCCUGGUAGUCCACGCCGUAAACGAUGAGUGCUAAGUGUUAGGGGGUUUCCGCCCCUUAGUGCUGCAGCUAACGCAUUAAGCACUCCGCCUGGGGAGUACGGCCGCAAAGGCUG